rnacentral:lncRNA from 1 species
AUCAAUGCCUACUACAAUCUACUCAUGACCAUAGUUAUAUACAUGUCUAGUCAUAUGCAAUACAGUACCACACAUGGAACAUCAGUAUUCACAGUUAUGGACUGUGUGCAAACUAGACACGUCAAAAUGUUACUGCAACUGCAACUGCUAAACCUAGAUGGAUGAACAUGCAAUUUCUAAACAGAUACUGAAGCCCCAUAAAAUACCAUUUUCA